AGGACAUGGUUGGCUGAGGAAGGCAGCAGAAUCACAGCAUGCGGUGGGGGCUUGCAGUUCAUGUCCUGAAGGAAAAUUUUGAGAGGAGCAGGGAGCUAACAACCAUGGCUCUGAAGUAAAAGUAAGAGACCAUCCUAGGGCCCAGAAGAUAAAGUUUGCUGCAACACAUAAAGUCACUGAAUGAACUGAAACUAAGCCUGAAAGCCAGGCACAAGGAACAGGGGGAAAGCAGAAGCCUGCAAAUGCUUUUUUCUUUUUUUUUUUUUCCACUUCAGUUGCAAUUUUUGGUUAGUGGAACUGAUUCUACAUUUGAACCAUGGUCUCGACCCUCAAACCACCUUUUGGUCUCUUCAUGUAACUCAGCCUACUAAGCAGAAUAUUUGGCCUGGAAGUGCCUUAUUUUCACAAACAUCUUGGAAGUCUUGUAUAUAUAUUGUAGACGCCUGUGACUUUCACCUGUUUUCUGCUUACAAAGAUUCCUGCUUCACACUGUAAAUAGCAAAGAAAGCAAACCGUGUUCUGCAUUGACUCCAGAUGGCGAAAAGGUUUUUCAGGAAGGAAACAGGAGGAGGAAGAAGAAAUCAACCCGCAAUCCUACAAUUUUUCAGGAAGAACAUAGGAGGAGGAAGAAUGAAUAAUUUCACAAGCCUAUGUGUCUGUUUUUUCAUCGCAAAUGUUUCCUACUACAUGAAGAAUCAGUCUCCCAUCCUGAAAGGCUUCUUAUC
rnacentral:lncRNA from 1 species